rnacentral:pre_miRNA from 9 species
GUCCACCUCCUCGCGUUCACUGCCGGAGCCGUUAUGUAUAUUUAAAAUUCAUAAGGCACGCGGUGAAUGCCAAGAGCGGACUC